UACGGAGAGGGCUAGCGUUAUUCGGAAUUAUUGGGCGUAAAGGGCGCGUAGGCGGAUUAGUAAGUUAAAAGUGAAAUCCCAAGGCUUAACCUUGGAAUUGCUUUUAAAACUGCUAAUCUAGAGAUUGAAAGAGGAUAGAGGAAUUCCUAGUGUAGAGGUGAAAUUCGUAAAUAUUAGGAGGAACACCAGUGGCGAAGGCGUCUAUCUGGUUCAAAUCUGACGCUGAGGCGCGAAGGCGUGGGGAGCAAACAGG
rnacentral:rRNA from 1 species